rnacentral:rRNA from 1 species
UACGAAGGGGGCUAGCGUUGCUCGGAAUUACUGGGCGUAAAGGGCGCGUAGGCGGACAGUUUAGUCAGAGGUGAAAGCCCAGGGCUCGACCUUGGAAUUGCCUUUGAUACUGGCUGUCUUGAGUUCGGGAGAGGUGAGUGGAAUGCCGAGUGUAGAGGUGAAAUUCGUAGAUAUUCGGCGGAACACCAGUGGCGAAGGCGACUCACUGGCCCGAUACUGACGCUGAGGCGCGAAAGCGUGGGGAGCAAACAGG